UCAGGCAGCCAUAUCACCCUGCAGCCCAAUACUGGUUGCCCACUGAAGCUAAGCAGGGUUGAGUCUGGUCAGUACCUGGAUGGGAGACCUCCUGGGAAAACUAGGUUGCUGCUGGAA
rnacentral:rRNA from 1 species